rnacentral:lncRNA from 1 species
GGAAUUUCCUUUUUUAUGUGUUUAAUUCCCAAGCAGCUGGAGUGUUAGAAGCAUAAAAAGGUGAGCUCAAAUAAUCAUUCAUUCAUUAGAAUGAAUGAUUAUUUGACUAUAUCUAAUCACAGCCUACGGAAUUCAACACAAGCUAUUAUUAUCUUUACAGCUGGGUAAUACUGUGGCUACUCUACCAAAUGAAUAAGCUAUUCAAGCUUGCCACAAGAGCUGUAAGAGACUGGCCCUAGAUAUCCAUCAGCAUCAGCACCACAGCUUCCUCAGCAGAUGUCCCCAGAACCAUCACUGGGGUCAUGGCCAAGAAUAAUACUGAGAGGGAGACAAUGCUUGUCCAGCUUAAGAACUUGUUCUCCACCCACUAUUCUGGAAUAGGAGAGUCCACACAUGGAGUUAAUCAGGGGAAGUGGGAUAAAUCCUUUGCCUACAACUAACACAGCUACAGCCUGUACACCUCUUUCCCAGAGAUUGGCUGCCAGGACAGCUCCUCAGAGAAGGCCAUGGCCCCAACAAGUAGGAAAGAGUCUGUACCUUCAGGCAAGUUUUGCUCUUCAGAUAUAAUUGCAGCAACAGCUCUGCAAACUUUCGUGUUAUCAACUUGUUAUAUCAGAAUAAAGCAAAAGAGUACAAGUUUCAAAAAAAACUUCUCCAUCAGACCAGUGAAAAAUAGAAUUGGGAAGCAUAGAUGCCCAUGGAAAAAAGGGAAAACAAAGCACUGAGGGAGUGGAGGACAGAGGCCCUGAAGAUGUGUGCAAAUGGUCUCCAUAGGAAUGAACUUCAGCUAAAGACAUUGGCUAAAUCAGCAUGAAUUACAAUGAGAAGCCAGGAUUUCUAAAAUCUUAAUAGGCAUAUUUAGCUACCUCUUAUUAUCUACUUCCUCUUAUUCAGAGCAAAUGAUCACAGAUAAAUCACAGAUCUACACAUUUUGCACAUGAUGUAAAAAUUGUGGAAAUAAUUGAACAGGAAUAUGAGGAGCAUAUAGACAAAUUUUAAUUGCUUGUCUUAUUGCUCCUGCCUGCUGCUAAGUUUGAACCCUUGAAUCCUCUGUUCUUCUAAUCAAUACAGGAAUACAAAAUGUGCCUUUUGUUUAGGAAGUCACUAGUACAUCAGCUUCAACUGAAG